AUUGAACGCUGGCGGCGUGCUUAACACAUGCAAGUCGAGCGGUAACAGGCGUAGCAAUACGUGCUGACGAGCGGCGAACGGGUGCGUAAUACAUGGGAAUCUGCCUAGUAGUGGGGAAUAACCCGGCGAAAGCCGGGCUAAUGCCGCAUACGAUCCACGGAUGAAAGCGGGGGACCUUCGGCCUCGCGCUAUUGGAUGAGCCCAUGUCGGAUUAGCUAGUUGGGAGGUAACGACUCACCAAGGCGACGAUCCGUAGCUGGUCUGAGAGGACGGCCAGCCACACUGGGACUGAGACACGGCCCAGACUCCUACGGGAGGCAGCAGUGAGGAAUAUUGCGCAAUGGGCGAAAGCCUGACGCA
rnacentral:rRNA from 1 species